UGGCCUGCCAUUGAUGAUUUAAAAGGCCGCGGUAAUAUGACCGUGCAAAGGUAGCAUAAUAAUUAGUCUUUUAAUUGAAGGCUUGUAUGAAUGGUUGGACAAAAGGAAUACUGUCUCUAUUAUAUUUAUUGAAAUUAACUUUUAAGUGAAAAGGCUUAAAUACUUCAGAGGGACGAUAAGACCCUAUAAAGCUUUAUAAAUAAUAUAAAUUUAAUUGAAUUUUAAAUAUAAUAAUUAAAAUUAUAUUACUUAUUUGGUUGGGGCGACAUAAGUAUAAUUAUUUUAACUGCUUUAUAAAUAUACACAGGAUAAGUGAAUAUUAUGUUAAAUGAUCCUUUAUUAUAAAGAUUUAAAGAUUAAGUUACUUUAGGGAUAACAGCGUUAUUUUCUUUGAGAGUUCAUAUCGAAAAGGAAGCUUGCGACCUCGAUGUUGAAUUAAAUUUUCUAUAUAAUGCAGCAGUUAUAUAAGAAGGUCUGUUCGACCUUUAAAUUUUUACAUGAUUUGAGUUCAAACCGGUGUAAACC
rnacentral:rRNA from 1 species